AACCAGCACCUCAAGUGGUCAGGAUGAUUAUUGGGCCUAAAGCAUCCGUAGCCUGUUCUAUAAGUUUCCGGUUAAAUCCAUAUGCUCAACAUAUGGGCCGCCGGAAAUACUGUAGAACUAGGGAGUGGGAGAGGUAGACGGUACUCGGUAGGAAGAGGUAAAAUUCUUUGAUCUAUUGAUGACCACCUGUGGCGAAGGCGUCUGACUAGAACGGAUCCGACAGUGAGGGAUGAAAGCUAGGGGAGCAAAUCGG
rnacentral:rRNA from 1 species